UGUUGUUUCCUGCAUCUUUUACCAAAUUGGAAACACAUAGUCCAUAAAGGAGACAGUUUAAAAUAUCAGGACUUUUGUCGUUGAGUUCACCAGGACAAAUGCUUGGAUUGGUUUGACUGACAGAGAUGAGGAGGGGACCUGGAAGUGGACAGAUGGGACUUCACUGACUUUUACGAACUGGGAGAGAAAGCAGCCUGAUAAUGGUGGUGGAGCUGCACGGUGGGGUGAAGAGGACUGUGCACAUAUCAGACCUG